rnacentral:rRNA from 1 species
UGCCAGCAGCCGCGGUAAUACGGAGGGUGCAAGCGUUAAUCGGAAUUACUGGGCGUAAAGCGCGCGUAGGUGGUUUGAUAAGCGAGAUGUGAAAGCCCCGGGCUUAACCUGGGAACGGCAUUUCGAACUGUCAGGCUAGAGUAUGGUAGAGGGUAGUGGAAUUUCCUGUGUAGCGGUGAAAUGCGUAGAUAUAGGAAGGAACACCAGUGGCGAAGGCGGCUACCUGGGCCGAUAUUGACGCUGAGGCGCGAAGGCGUGGGUAGCGAACGGGAUUAGAUA